rnacentral:rRNA from 1 species
GACGAACGCUGGCGGCGUGCUUAACACAUGCAAGUCGAACGGAAAGGCCCUGCUUUUGUGGGGUGCUCGAGUGGCGAACGGGUGAGUAACACGUGAGUAACCUGCCCUUGACUUUGGGAAAACUUCAGGAAACUGGGGCUAAUACCGGAUAGGAGCUCCUGCUGCAUGGUGGGGGUUGGAAAGUUUCGGCGGUUGGGGAUGGACUCGCGGCUUAUCAGCUUGUUGGUGGGGUAGUGGCUUACCAAGGCUUUGACGGGUAGCCGGCCUGAGAGGGUGACCGGCCACAGUGGGACUGAGAUACGGCCCAGACUCCUACGGGAGGCAGCAGUGGGGAAUAUUGCACAAUGGGCGGAAGCCUGAUGCAGCAACGCCGCGUGCGGGAUGACGGCCUUCGGGUUGUAAACCGCUUUCGCCUGUGACGAAGCGUGAGUGACGGUAAUGGGUAAAGAAGCACCGGCUAACUACGUG